GUUCUUAUAGUUGAAACUACAAUAGUGAUUUUUCAUAUCGCUGGUCUCAUUGUUAUGGGUAAGAAUA
rnacentral:tRNA from 1 species